GGGUGGAUCCCUUGAGGCCAGGAGUUUGAGAGCAGAGUGGCCAACAUGGUGAAACCCCGUCUCUACUUAAAGAAAAAAAAAAUUAGCUGGGCAUGGUGGCACAGGUCUGUAAGCCCAGCUACUCGGGAGGCUGAGGCAGGAGAAUUGCUUGAACCCGGGAGGUGGAGGUUGCACCACUGUACUCCAGCCUGGGAGAUCAAGUGAGACUCCAUCUCAGAAAAAAACAAAACAAAACAAAACAAACCAGAGAAAUUAGGAGAAUAUUUGUAUAUUGUCUGCAUGUCAUGUAUCUGGGUAGGGAAAAUGGGGAGGGAGGAGUUUAAGCAGGAGAUCAUAAAACCAGAAAGGAAAAGAUAGCUUAGUUGGCAAAUUAUAGAUUGAAAAACAUACCGUAAAGUCAAAUGGCAAAUUGACAGACUGGGGAACAGUGAGUGUGUGCGUGCGUGUGUGUGUGUGUGUGUGUGUGUGUGUGUGUGUGUGUAUGUUAACAGUUAUGAUGCAGAAAUGUUAUUCUUAAAAGAUAUAAUCUACAAAAGCUUUCAUAAACUAAGAAAAAGACAACCCAUUUAAAAGUAAUCAAUUGAGUUGAAUACUCAAUAAAAAUUCCAACAUCAGUAAACAGACAAAAAGAUUCAAACUCUAAUAAUUGGGAAAUGCAAUUUGAAAGAAUGAGAAACUACACUUUUUCACUACCUAGACACAAUGAAAUUAACAAGAGUGGUGAUGUCCUGGGCGGGCGAGGACCUAGAGGAACAGGCACUCAAAACACUUCUCCUGAGGCUGUGAGCUGCCACCAUCCCUUGAAAAAAAAAAAAAAUGCGCUUGUAUGUGAUCAGAUCAAAACUGCAUACACCCCAUGCCCCAACAAUCCUGCUUUUGGGAAUUGAUUUACAGAAAAAGACACACAGGCUUCUGAAGACUUCUAUUUAGAGCUGCCUGUUACAACGAUACCACUUUGAUCAGCUAAACCCUGAAAACAAACAUGCACAAAAAGAGAAGUCCAAUAACUGACUGCACAGCAGGGCUCUCUGGAAGAAACCAGCUCUUGGCUGAGUUGAGGAUGUGAGGGAAAAGCCUGGCAGAGAGGAGCUAUCAGAGCAGGGUGUGGCAGACAGCAGUGGCAGAGUGGACUGAAGGAGAGGGGCCUGCACAGUGAAGGGCCCAGCUUAUCAUUCAAGGCACCCCAGGCCACCAUCCUGGCCCUGCUUUUCAUGACCUUCACGGAUAUGGGAAAGUCACUUGACCCGUUAGACCUCGGUUGCCUCUUUGAUCAAACGGGUAUCAGAAAUCCAAAAUUCCAAAAUCCACAGAUCCAAAGAGCUCCAAAGUCAAGCCAUCCCCAAGCUCAUUGGGCAGGAAAACCUGACCUGUGUUGGUGGGAGAUGACUUACAGACAUGACUGACACGCUUGGUGUGAACGUUCACAUACUUCCCUGCAGAAAAGUUAACCAGGCUGCUGCACACUGCUGUGCUGAGCACUGAGGGUGCCGUGUGCCCUGUGGAGUAGAGAUCAUAUUGCCUUUGCAACUGAAAAAUCCUGAAUCUCAACACACACCUGGCUCCGAGGGGAUCGAGUUGGUGCUUGGUGACCCACAGUGCCAGAUGCUGGUGUACAGCGUGGGGCCUGCUGCUGCUCUGUGCCUGUCAAUCAUUUCUAUUUUGUGUACUGCAAGGAGCGUUCAGAGGAAGCUUUAGAUAUGUGGGCCUGACGGUGGGAAUAAAAAUCAACUGCAAUUUCAGGGAGGGGUUCUGGGGGCCACAUGCGUUCACUCACUUUUUCCUAACCAUGUGGGCUGUCUGCCCCAGGCCCGGCCCUGCUGCUAUGCUGACUUCUUUCCUCUCAAACACUGCCCUCUAGUGCCCCUGAGCCCAUUUCCCAAGCACAGGCAUCCGCUGGCUGUUGGGCGGCUGCAAAGUACCUUGAGACUCAGCUGCUUGAUCUCCCAUGCCAAUGAGCCUGGGGGUGAUCUCUCAACAAGAAGUUGGCCGGGCACCCUGGCUCACGCCUGUAAUCCCAGCACUGUGGGAGGCUGGGGCAGGCGAUCACCUGAGGUCAGGAGUUUGAGACCAGCCUGGCCAACACGGUGAAACCCCAUCUCUACUAAACACAAAAAUUAGCCGGGCAUGGUGGCGGGCGCCUGCAAUCCCAGCUACUCAGGAGGCUGAGGCAGGAGAAUCACCUGAACCCGGGAUGCGGAGCUUGCAGUGAGCCGAGAUCGCGCCACUGCACUCCAGCCUGGGCGACAGAGCAAGACUCCGUCUCAAAAAAAAAAAAAAAAAAAAAAAAGGCAUUUUACCCAAACUUUACAAAAGGAAAAUCCAGUGUUAUUUUUAGAAUGUUACCUAUGGGGGCUUCCACUGCGACCAGGAUGGAGUCACAGAGACUGGACUUGACCCCCCAAAAAUAGAGUAAAUACAAGAAAACAACAGUGGUCAAGACUCUACCAAGAAAGUGAUCCCUGAGGAACGGGAAACAUCAAGGCAAGCCCUAAAAUUGCCGCUGGGUCCUGUUGCAAGUUUCUAGACCACGGGACAGGGAGGGAAGACUGAGGCGGAGCUGGGAGGACUCCGUGAGCAGAGGAGACAAAGCAGGGAGUCUGAGCUUUGUUCUUGAGCUUUGUUUUGAGAAUGAAGUUAUGGGCCGGGUGCGAUGGCUCACGCCUGUAAUCCCAGCACUUUGGGAGACCGAGGUGGGUAGAUCACCUGAACUCAGGUGUUCGAGACCAGCUUUGCCAACAUGGUGAAACCCUGUCUCUACUAAAUAUAUACAAAUUCGCCGGGUGUAGUGGUGGGUGCCUGUAGUCCCAGCUACUCGGGAGCCUGAGGCAGGGGAAUCUCUUGAACCUGGGAGGCGAAGGUUGCAGUGAGCCAAGAUCGCGCCAUUGCACUCCAGCCUGGGCAGCAGAGCGAGACUCCAUCUCAAAAAAUAAAUAAAUAAAAAUAAAAAUAAAUUAUCUUGGACUUCCAGCCUCCAGAACUGUGAGAAAUAAGUGUUUGUUGUUUUUGAGCCACCAGUCCAUGGUCCUCUGUUACUGCAGACUAGAAUGCCAGGGAAAGAACCACCUGGAGGGACUGAAGCAAAUAGCGCCUGAGUUCUGGGGACUCACACAGGCCUUGACAAGGCGCUGUUCCUGCCAGAAGAACCUCAUAACUGAAGGAACACUGGGUAGAACACGGAGAGGGUCUUACAUCAGCCGUGGGGAAUAAGCAGCCCUAACCUGUUAAACACUGUUCUGGUCCUGCCUGAGGAAUCUUAAAAGCAAAACCUGAAAGGAUCAAGCUGCUUCCAAGUAAGGUGACUGCAUUCUCAAACAAAGCUCAAGAAUAUUUAUAGGCAUACAAAAGUAACGAGUGCUCGACAAGGUAAUACUGAUAUUGUCUAGUAUCCAACAACAAAGUCACCAAAUAUGCAAAAAGCAGGAAAAUAGGGCACAUCAUGAGGAUAAAAAUCAUUCAACUGAAACGGACCCAGGAGUUAGAAUUAGUAGGUAAGAACAUUAGAACAACUAUUAUACUGUACUCCAUACGUUCCAAAAGUUCUUUACAGAUACGGAAGAUAUAAAAAAACUCAAACUGGAUAUCAACAGAUAGAAAUUACAAUGUCUGAAAUAAAUAAUGUACUGGCUGGAACAGCAGAUUUUUGUUUUUUGGGGGAGAGUCUUGCUCUGUUGCCCAGGCUGUAGUGCAGUGGCAUGAUCUAGGCUCACUGCAACUUCCACCUCCCAGGUUCAAGCAAUUCUCAUGCCUCAGCCUCCCAAGUAGCUGAGACUACAGGCACCUGCCACCACAUCCAGCUAAUUUUUGUAUUUUUAGUAGAGACGGGCUUUCACCAUGUUGGCCAGGCUGGUCUCAAACUCCUGACCUCAAAUGAUCUGCCAGCCUCGGCCUCCCAAAGUGCUGGGAUUACAGGUGCGAGCCACUGCACCCAGCCCUAGAACAGCAGAUUAGACAUUGCAGGAAAAAAAAAAAAAUCUGGAAGACAACAUUAGAAACUGUCCAAAUGAAACAUUUAAAAAAAUGAUUUUUUUUUUUUUACUUUUUAGACAGGGUCUCACUCUGUCACCUAGGCUGGAGUGCACUGGCGUGAUCAUGACUCACUGCAGCCUCAACCUCUCCAGCUCAAGCGAUCCUCCCACUUUAGCCUCUCGAGUAGCUGGGACUACAGGCGCACACCACCAUGUUUGGCUAAUCUUUAAAAAUUUUCUGUAGAGAUGAGGUCUCACCAUGUUGCCCAGGGUGGUCUCAAACUCCUGGGCUCAAGUGAUCCUACUGCCUUGGCCUCCCAAAGUGCUGGGAUUACAGGCAUGAGCCACCAUGCCCUGCCCCAGAAGGAAUGAAUAUAUUUUUUUUUAAUGAAAAGAACACUGGUGAGCUGUGGGACAUUUUAAUAUAUGUGUAACUGGAGGCCCAUAAGGAGAGAGAAAGAAAGGAACAGAGAGAGUGUUUAAAGAAAUAAUAACCCCAAAUUUCCCAAAUUUGAUACAAACUAUAAAACCAAAGAUACAAGAAACUCAACACACCCCAAGCAGAAGAAACACAAAGAUAAACCAAGAUACAUCAUAAUCAAAUUUCUUAAGACCAGUAACAAAGAGAAAAUCUUGACAACAGCCAGAUGAAAAACAAAAAGAUUUUAUAAACAGAGGAACAAAAAUUAGGAUGACACCAGAUUUCUCACUGGAAACAAUGUGAGAAAGCAGUGUAAGAAAAUUCUUAAAGUAGCAAAAGAAAAAAGUAGUCAACCUAGAAUUCGAUACUCACUGAAACUGUUUUUCAAAAGUGGGCCGGGCACGAUGGCUCACGCCUGUAAUCCCAGCACUUUGGGAGGCAGAGGCGGGCGGAUCACAAGGUCAGGAGAUCGAGACCAUCCUGGCUAACACAGUGAAACCCCGUCUCUACUAAAAAUACAAAAAAUUAGCCGGGCGUGGUGGUGGACGCCUGUAUUCCCAGCUACUCGGGCGGCUGAGGCAGGAGAAUGGCGUGAACCCGGGAGGCGGAGCUUGCAGUGAGCCGAGAUCGCGCCACUGCACUCCAGACUGGGCGACAGAGCAAGACUCCCUCUCAAAAAAAAAACCAAAAAAACAAAAGUGAAGACAAGGCCAGGCGCAGUGGCUCACACCUGUAAUCCCAGCAUUUUGGGAGGCUGAGGCAGGCGUAUCACCUGAGGUCAGGAGUUCGAGACCAGCCUGGCCAACAUGGUGAAACCCCGUCUCUACCAAAAAAUACAAAAAUUAGCUGGGUGUGGUGGUGGGCACAGAGCAGAGAUAGAACAGUAUCAUAAGGCUGGGCAUGAUCCAUGAAAGAAACUUACAAGCUUGACUUUAUUAAAAUAAUAAUAAAAAAACCCCUCUGCUAGGCCAGGCGUGGUGGCUCACGCCUGUAAUCCCAGCUCUUUGGGAGGCCGAAGCGGGCGGAUCAUGAGGUCAGGAGAUCGAGACCAUCCUGGCUAACACGGUGAAGCCCCAUCUCUACUAAAAAUACAAAAAAUUAGCCAGGUGUGGUGGCAGGUGCCUGUAGUCCCAGCUACUCAGGAGGCUGAGGCAGGAGAAUGGCGUGAACCCGGGAGGCGGAGCUUGCAGUGAGCCAAGAUCACGCCACUGCACUCCAGACUGGGCGACAGAGCGAGACUCCAUCUCAAAAAACAAAACAAAACAAAACCCUCUGCUCUUUGAAAAACAUUUUUAAUAUAAUGAGAAAAGCUGCAGCCUGGGAGAAACUAUUUGCAAGAGACCUAUCUCAUGAAGGACUGCUAUCCAAGAUUUACAAAGGGCUCUUAAAACUCAGUUAACAGGAAAACAAUCUGAUUAAAAAAUAGGAAAAGGGGCCAGGCAUGGUGGCUUACACCUGUAAUCCCAGCACUUUGGGAGGCCAAGACGGGCAGGAAUUUGAGACCAGCCUGGCCAAUAUGGUGAAACCCUGUCUGUACUAAAAAUACAAAAAUUAGCCAGCAUGAUGGCACGUGCCUGUAGUCCCAGCUACUCGGGAGGCUGAGGCAGAAGAAUUGCUUGAACCCGGGAGGCGGAGGUUGGAGUGAGCCGAGAUGGUGCCACUGCACUCCAACCUGGGUGACAGAGUGAGACUCGGUCUCAAAAAAAAAAAAAAAAAAAAAAAAAAAAAAAAAAAAAAAAAGGAUUGUUUCUGGGUGUGUCUGUGAGGGUGUUGCCAGGGAGGCUGACACUUGAGUGAGUGGACGGGGAGAGGGAGACCCACUCUCAGUGUGGGUGGGCACCAUCCAGUCAGCGCAGAAGGUGGGAGGGGCUGGCUUGCUGAGUCUUCUGGCUUUCAUCUUUCUCCUGUGCUGG
rnacentral:tRNA from 10 species